CGGCCUCCCACACCGCGCUGCCGGAACAAGCGUCGCCGGGAUGACAGACUGCUGGUCUUCCUCUCGAAGCAGACCACAGCCCACACCCGUCGGGGGCCUUCUCCACCGCGACCCAACCGCUCGGAAUCCGGCGAGGCUGCCCAGAAUCAAGACCGUCCCUUCUCCGUUCGCAAGUAUUCGAGUAGAUUAACUCAUGUGUGCAGGUGAGCACUAGGCUUUACAGUGCAGGUGAGCUGCCCUUCACGGUGAUGAGUUUCUCCAUUUGUUCUGCUGAGAUCUGAAAGCCAUGUAUUUGUAUUAUGCCACUUGUUUACCCGUGUUUACAAAUUUACAAAGUCCUGGGGCAAUAUUUUGAACACAACCUCAGUCACCAAAUGGAAAAAAAAAUGAUAACUUGUAAUGGGUUCAGUUAGACCAACGUUUCAGCAGAGUAGUUUAGUUAAGCAAUAUUGUAUUCAUUUUACUGAGUAAAAAGGAAUACACUUCUUUAUACAGUGUAGUAUUAACAUGCACAGAGGUGCAUUCGACCAGUACUUGUUUUAUUUUACAUGCACAAGGGUGUAUUCAAUUGACUUCAGAAUCGUGUCUUUCUUGAGUAACUGGAGGAGUUGAUGGUCGGACAAGUCGCUGGAUUCUUGGAGUAGCACGCACACCCGUCACUUCCAUCUUCAUCAAGCUGGAUGUGCAGAAAUCCAUGGGAAAGCAAGCCUCACCUCCACAAGAUAAAUUACAGAGGAGUUGCUGCAAAAGAUCAAUGACCUGUUGAUGUGAUUCAUGAGUGACUUGCUAGAUUCUUUUGUUCACUUCCAUGAAGAUUGCUAGUUUAGAAACAUAUAUAAGCUCUUGUGCACUAUUGCUGAUGAAGUGCAUUCAUUGUGAAUUUGACCGAUCUUUGUAUAGCCUGGAUAUGAACAAUGUACUAUAUAAUGAAUCAUGUAAUAUCUUUUGAAAAAAAUGGUUGGAUACGGUCAAUGAUCACUUUGUGAAAUAAUUUCUUGAA